CCUUGAAACCCUUAAAGUAACAUUCCAAUUACUCACAUAACUUUGGGACUUUCUGUGAAGGGUGGUAGUCUUAAAGUUCUCCAGACUGGGAACAUGGCCACUGUUCCAAGGCAUCUCUAACCAUGGGCGAUCUCUUUUGAGUUUUAGAAGUCCCUCAAUCCAUGUUCUCAGUAAGUUCAGAAUAGACCUUUUCUGGUGUUCCUGUGGGUUUUAGAGCCAUCCAGAGAGAACGGUUCUACCCCGUUCUGUCCUUCAUUUCAUUCUCUUUGGGCUUCUGCCUUCCAGUCUGCUCCGCAGUGAAGCUUUCCUGCCUUGCUGCCAUGGCCCACAAUUGAGAAAGUGUUUCUGGGACACUGGAGGCUGGUUCUUCUUUCCAGGGUUCCCAUGGGCCUCCAUCACUGCUGCAUGGACCACGGAUGGGCCUCCAUCACUGCUGCAUGUUGGCUAAGGCCGUGGAUGCCGAAGAAGAAGGAAGAAAUGGAGCCCCAAGAAGUGAUGCAUUUUGUCCAAGGCAGCUGGAUUUAAAAAGCUGGAACCCCACACCCACCCAUCAAGGCUCCCCAGGAGCCCCACCCUCCCAGGCCUCUCUGCAACAAGCAGGAGGAAAUGCCGUCUUGCCCAACGGAGCCUCCAAGGACUGAAGGUGAAGGAGCUUUGGUCAGGACGGGACUGCCCCGUCUUCCUGCUGGGGUCCCUGCCAACCUCCAGCCCGGAUGCUCUGUCCACGCUUUGAAGGCCACCCAGGGAGCCAACAGCCCCAGACCGACCUUCCCUCACAAUGUGAGCGCCAGAGGUAUCUCAGGGUGGCCAACAGCCCCGGGAAGCAGCGGGGUAGAGACGAGAAACCCUCACUCGUAUCCUGCUUCUGACCCGCAGGCACAUCGGGUACCGACGUACCCUCAUCUGUGAAAUGGGCAUAACCACACUGUUGUUAGGCUAAAAUGGGACCGUGUAUAUUGUGCCGAGGUCCUAAAUGGUGUGUUUUUGACAGAGAGAAACCAAAGAAGUGAUCCCUGAGGCGGGCAACCAGAAGGCUCUGAUAGGGAUCGGUUUAGCUCCACGGUUCCCCCUCUGGGGAGGUCAUGAGAUCCAAGUUAUGUCAGGCCCCUGAGACACACCCUCCGGAGAGGCUCCCCGCCGUCCAGCCUUGCCAUGGCCUGAAGGAAAUCCCAGUCAUGGCUCUGAGGUUAAAUUUUCCCUGUAAAAUCUGCUCAUGGGCCAUGCUCAGUCCGCCACGGCACUCUGGCUCAUGUCUUUCCCUUCCCUUCCCCUUCCCCGGUGCUACAUGGUAUCUCUCCUGACUCCACUGUGCUUCCCAAGCCCACUUCUCCUCCUCAUCAGCAGCUGACCCUUUGGGGUGAAAAAUGAGACUGGUGUAAAUAAUGGCUGGAUUUCGGGGCCUCCCCAGUGCUAGAUCCCUGACCCGCCGUUCCUAAGGCUGUAAGGCGAAGGCCUGGCUUGGUACGGCCUGGGGGUUUAGGGACGGGAAUAAAGCCACUGAUUGAGGCUCCGAAUGCCUUCCCCAAAGGAACUUGUCUUUCAUAGGCUCUCCUCACUCAUAUUUACCAUUUCCGGUGUCUAUUGGAUCCCUUCAUUUUGUCUGUAAGCUCUUCCCUAAAUAAAUCUACCUUUCGCCCAAGAGAA